rnacentral:rRNA from 1 species
UACAGAGGUCCCAAGCGUUGUUCGGAUUCAUUGGGCGUAAAGGGUGCGUAGGCGGCGCGGUAAGUCGGGUGUGAAAUCUCGGAGCUUAACUCCGAAACUGCAUUCGAUACUGCCGUGCUUGAGGACUGGAGAGGAGACUGGAAUUUACGGUGUAGCGGUGAAAUGCGUAGAUAUCGUAAGGAAGACCAGUGGCGAAGGCGGGUCUCGUGGACAGUUCCUGACGCUGAGGCACGAAGGCCAGGGAGCAAACGGG